AACACAAGGCUAAUGAAUUUUAAAAGUACAAAAAUGAUUUUAAAAUAAAUCUCUAUUUAUUCAGAUUACAUAGAACAUCUUUAGCGUCUACCACAUCUACUCCCAGAGUAGGACAAAUACAUCUUUUCUUUCCUGUGUACUUUAUACACCAUUUAGUAUGUUUCUAACAAGAUGCCUACUAUUUUCAUUUAUGCUUAGGCAGACCUCUUACUAAGCAUCAUCUAGUUUAACUUAUCUUCCUGUGACUUUUCCCCUAAGCUUUAUAGUCAUUGGAAUCCAAAUUCUUAAUUUCUAUUGAAACAGACUUAUUUUUGCUCCAGUUCCAUCUUCCAGGAGACUGCACAUAUCUUUUUUGUGUCCUUAACAUGUAGUGAGCCAUGCAUGCUAACCUCCAAAGUGAGCAAAAUACUCAUAUGUACCACGUGAAUUUUUCUCCUAUCACUUAUUGACAUUACAGUAGAACAGGUUUCUUUGUAGACUGCUUAUUAAUCUGUUUUUCUUUUAAAGAAAUGUGAAGGUCAGCACAAUUAAAAUUACUCUUCCAUAAACAAAGCAAUUAUGUGUACCAGUAGCAGUAAAACUGAAAACGUUCUUUCCAGUCCAUUUUAGUUUCUCCAAUCCUGAAUACCAAAUGCAUGUUUACCUGUAAAGCUGUGAGAUGGAACAGAAGAACACAGCUGUAGAGAAGUUAAAUGACUGUGGAAUGCAAUAAUGUGGAACCUUAAUUAGCUCUGAGCAAAAACAUCAAAAGACUCUUGAAAGUAAUCUCCAUGCUUGAGCUCACUCAUCUUUAAGAUGGAUGUACACAGCCAACUCAGGUUGCUGCAGGAAUUCUAUGACAAUGGGGAACAUUCUCUUGCAUUUAGAAGGAAUUUUAAUAGAUCUUCUAAUCCUGCUUGGGAGGUAAAGGCAAACACAGGAUACUUCUGCAUACAGAAGUCUGCUUAGAAUGGUAACUGAGGUCUUUAUCCUAAAUCUAAAUGAAGAAAAGAAUGUAUGGGAAAAAUAUUUGUUUAAGUGACAAGACUGCAUUGUAAAAAGUAAAUAAAUAAACGAGUUGUCCUCCAAGAAACAGACCGAGAACAAAAGGAGCUACAAGUCAAAAGAAUAAGCAAGAAAUGGACACAUGAAAUGCCACCAAUAAAUCCAGCAAUUAAAAGUCACCAGAAAUUCUAUUUCCCUUACAUCUGUUCUUAUUGCAUCCGUGUGGUUUACGUUUAGUGCAUAACAAUACUUAAAGGAGGACAGAAGACAGGUAAGGUUUUAGAAGAGAGGACUAACUUUAUUUUUGCCAUAGUAGCCCUGUUUCAAAGAGUUCUUAUCACAGAAGAAAAACAUGUUCAGAAACAUAAGAUGGUGUCUGAAAUUACAACCUGAGGAUAUGGAGAUAAUAAAAGCAAGGAAGUAAAACACAGGAAACGCUUCUUGAGUUUAUCACUCAUUUGGAUGCGAUUGUUGGGAGCAUCACAUCAGUACUGUUCGUAGGUUGCGUAGCUCAUGAAAAUCUAACUCUUCAAUAAUUUGAAGUUUGCGUUUAAUUUCAAAUAAAGUGGUACUAAUCAGGCCUUAGUUUAUUGUUCAGCAACAUCCAACUACAUUCAACUCUGUCAAACGCACAUACCAGAAAAGUUAAUUAUAACAAGAGAGACUUUUCUUUCUGCUGAUUUUUAGUUGAAUUGACAAUGGACAUUCUUAAGUAACUGGGUAGACCCUACAUACAAAUUGACACUAUCUUCUGCAUAUGAAGUCCACACGAAUAUCAUAAGUCAACUCUCAGACCCUAUAAAAUACAUAAAUCGUGUAAAUUCAACCCCAAAACACGCUAUAAAUUUGAUUAGAAAAAAAGUGAUAAGUCCACGCUGGUACCUACAGAUUAUUUUGCAAAAAUACUUAUGAAAACUUCUUAAACCAAUUAUUUUCCAGCAAGAAAUCCUGACCUGUUAAAAGAAGAAACUAAAAAUGCAGACUAUAUACCCAAACCACAAAGUAACACAUAAAUACUUAAAAUAGCAGACAACUUAAUGAACAAGAAAAUUGCAGCUUAUGAGAGAAAAAUUAGCAAUAGCUAUCACUUCAUUUGUUUCAGGACAAAAUGUUUUAUCUUUUCUCUAUCACAAUGAAUCAACAAAACAACAACAAAAAACCAGACCAAGACACAUUUACAAUACAAAGAGAACAACAUCUGAAAAUACAACAAAAAAGAUUGCAGAGCACACUUAACCAAUUUCAACUUCAGUGAGAGCUUUCAGCUCUUCCAAAAAGCUAUCUCAAUGAACAAUGAAUUUGGAGAGACAGGGGCCAGCAGAAAAUGGUCAGUAUCAAAAUCUGACCUGAGAAACAACUAUUAAUUACAUGCAUACAUAAUAUAUAUGUUGACAUAUGAAUGACAGACAUACGUUUAUAUGGUUGACUUUCUUUGUUAAUUCAGAGAAGAGUAAUCCCUAAACAUUUCCUAUAACAUUUAAAGUUCAUUAAACUGUAACAAAUAGGAAUUUUACUAACCUAAAAUCUCAAAAUUUAAGCUGACUUCACUAGGGCAGACUUACGCUUAGUAAAUUAACAUAAACUGCACAGACAAAUUAUUUUUCAAGGAAACAUCAAAAUAAUACAGACUGUUUUUCUACUAUUAAACCAACACAAUUAUGAAGCUCCUUGUUAGAAACAUUUCUCAGAAAAUAUUAUUCCUUGAUCACUGAAUUUCAAGAAAGCAUAACCAAAUUAUUUUCUGUAUUAUUCAAGCUAGUUUCAGUUUCAGAAGAUGACAAACUCUAUUGUAAUGGGUAUGGCAUACUGUAUUUUCGAG